AACGUAGGAGACGAGCGUUAUCCGGAUUUACUGGGCGUAGAGCGUGUGCAGGCGGUUCGGCAAGUUGGAUGUGAAAUCUCCCGGCUCAACUGGGAGGGGUCGUUCAAUACUACCGAACUUGAGGUCAUCAGAGGAAGGUGGAAUUCCGGGUGUAGUGGUGAAAUGCGUAGAUAUCGGGAGGAACACCAGUGGCGAAGGCGACUACCUGGCCUGUUUCUUGACGCUGAGGCGCGAAAGCUAGGGGAGCAAACGGG
rnacentral:rRNA from 1 species